CAGAGAUGUUUAUUGGCAGCCCCUGAUUGCCAGUUGCUCUGCUAGAUGUUCAAGUUAGAUUAAUGCAAUAUAGACAAUAGCCUGAGCCUCAUCUUCCACAAGUUUACUGUUUGUUGGAUUUUCCAACAUAUAUAAAUGUGAAAAAUGAUAACACAAAAGAAGAGGAUCAAUAUAUCCUGAAAUAAGAAAAAAAUCCAAAUGAAACAGAAAAUGCUCACACUAGGGUGGAAUUUUCACACUAGUGUGAAAAUUUCACCCUAGUGUGAGAGAGAGAGAGAGAGUAGAAAAAAUAUUUACUAAGGAAGAACUGAAAAUUGACAUAUGACUGCAAUUAAUUUGUGUUUGGAAUUGUAUAUAAUUUUGUUUUAGUUAAUAUUUUGUAAAGUAUAUUUAAAUAUACUCCUGAAUUUAACUGGUCACAAAUUACCUUAACAGCUUCAUAAUAUGCCAAGUUAGAGAAACACACAAUAAAAUAACAUAUUUUGACCAUCAGUCUUCCUUAGUGGUAAGGUUAGUGAUGCAGCAACAAAACAAAACAGAAAAACAAAUAGACGCACACAAAAAAGGUCCACCUGUGGCUUCCAGAUUUUCCACAUAGUAGGGGCUUAGUGGUGACAAUCUUGAUGGUGGUAAGUGACAUUCUCAUUUGCAUAUUGUCUUCAUUUAAACUGCAUUCUUAUCUGUCCUUGUCUGGAGAGGCUACUAAUGGAGAUUAUUAGGAGCUCACAUCACAUCAAGCCAUCAUUUUGAGUUGCCACAGUUGAGUUGCCAUAGGCAAACUGGUAUAUUUUCAUGAUGCAUAGUUACGUAAAAAUAUUCCCAUAACAGUGUAGAAGAGUUUUUUUUCUGGUCACUAUUCAUAACCUAUAUUAUCCGAUUUCAGCCAAGGUAUUGUUUUUAAAUGAUGGAUAAAUUUUAUUGAAAAUUCAAUCUCUUCUCAAGGAAAAACCUAGAUCAGUCUCUUGAGUGAAGUUCUCAGAUUUAGUUGUAGAAAAUAUCAUAUUUAUCUAAGUCUAAUUUGAAUGUUAAAAAGCUUAAUGCUUGUAUAUAAAGAGCCAUUAAGAAAAACUCACCUUGACUCAGCCAUUCUACUUCCAGCAAUCCAAAAUAUAUAGAAACUUAUGUCCCCCCAAAUUUAUUGUUGUAUAUUUAUGAAAAUUAAUUAAAGUAGUCAAAAUAUUUAAUAAUGGUGAACAACUGCACAGAUUAUAAAAUGUCUGCUAGAUGAAAUGCUACUAGAUGUGCUGUUAUGUAGCUAUUAAAAUUGCACUUAUAAAAUAUUUAUAAUGAUAUAUAAAUGAAAUCUGCUGCAAUGCUUAAUACUAUUAUCAUAUAAAACUGCAUAAAAAUAAGGAGCUCAACUAUGACUACAGGAAGUGUACAUUAUAGGGCUAGAAAUAAUUACAUCAAGUUAAUUAUAAUGACAUCAAAGCAGUUGUCUUUGGUAGUGGGAAUUUGAAUCCAUUAUCUUUCCCAAUUUUUUUUGUACUUUAUACAACAAGCAUAUUGUGAUGUGUCAAAUGCAUAAACCUCUCGACUAUUUUGAAAAUUCUCUUCUCUGAUAUACCUUGGAGCUAUAAGACUUUGAUUAGUUUCUGCAAAUUUUUUUGUUCUAUUUUGCUUUGUUUUCAUCUCUGUAAAGAACAAACUUUCUUAUAUGCCUUCACACCUCAACAAUCAGUGCAGAAGUUUUCUGUGUCCAAGUGAGCUUGGCUUUCCCUGAACACAUCAAGCAAGCAAUCAAUUCUGCAGCAGACACAGGUUGAGUGUCCUCUAAUUCAGUUCAAUUCUAACACUAUUCAUCUGGAGACAGCAUCAGAUCCCAGGGUAAGGGCUCAGUCCCCAAGAACGCCCCCUCCCACCACUUCAGAAGCCAUCUGCAAGCUGUGGGUUGGUCUACCUGUGUUUUUGAUUGAGGAGCUACAAAUCAUUCCUACAAAUCCCUCUUUCAGGUUCAGUUAACUUACUAGAGCUGCUCAGUGAACUCAGGGAAACAUUUAUGCUUAGUGGUUUAUCACAAAGGAAGUUACAAAGGAUGCUGAUGAACACCAGAUGAAGAGAUGGGCAGUGUCCUCCAUGACUGAAGACUUAAGAAAUAUGAUUGAAGAUAUAUGUCAAUAAGAUGUAGGCAAGUAAGCAAGUGUUUUAAUUAUCUUGAUGUGAUUUUCUGUCUAACUAUGAAGACAUCUAGAAUCAUAUUCUCUAUUCCAGGAAUAUAUUUAGUAUUGUUCACUGACAGCCUAAGUUUCUCCCUACCAUAACAUUUAUUAUUGUUUAAUUAAAUAGAGACAAGUCAAGUGGUUCAGAAAGAAACCAAGUAAAUGAAUCUCCAUCAGUCUUUACAUAAUUAAUAGUAUUCUCUGUAGACUGCACAAUUUAUUAAAUUCCUGAGCAGAACCACUUCAGAUAAAUAUAUUUGUGUAUUCUGAGUCAAAGACUACUCUAGACACUGUAGAAAGUUGGAAACUAAAUUAAGUCAGUGAAUUUUUUUUAAAUGUGUAAAUAUGACAAAACUUAGGAGAGCAAAAACUAUUAAUAGUACUCCAUUUCUUCCUUUGGCAUUUUCAGAACCCUUAAUGUAAUACUAUAGCAAUUUUGAAAGGAGAAUCACUUAGAAAAAAAUAAUAUGAAAAAUCAAGGUAUUGGAAAUAAAGUAUAUAUUAAACAGUACAGAUUUCUAGGGAAAACAAAUAAAUCCCUACACUCAGACCAUAUACUUUUCUCCCUAUAGAGUAAAUUGCAAGUGAAAUUUUACAUUCGAAUGAUUCUGGCCAUAGGAUAUAUAUUGUAUCAAGAGACUUUAUAUUUUAUAUUUAAGAUGAGUGAAAAUAUGUUUCAGGAAUAUGUUUUUUGUUCCUUAGGAUUAAGCUUUGUAUAGAGAGUGUUACACAGAAGUUUUAUUCUCGCUGUCUCUGAGAGAGCACAGCUGUAAUGAUUCUCUAUGAGGCCACCAACACAGCAGAAUUAACCAGGAAAAAGCAGGCUCCUAUGCAGAGCCCUUCAAAUAAUAAAGAAGGCAAGACCCCUAAGCAUUUUAUUUGUGUUUAGUUUAGGCAAAAUUCAGUCUUAUCAUAUUUGACACAUUAUUAACAACACUGUUUUUCAAGGACAUAUCACAGAUUAAAGUCAUUGACCCAGAUAACAAAAAUUAUAACGUAAGUUUGUGUUGUGAAUGUCAAUUAUAGCUGUUAAAACUGAUAUAUGCUGUUAAAAAAAAGAGCAUGUUGAACCAUUCCAGCAAAAUUUUUAGUGGGAAAAUUCAUUAAAUAAUUCAGAAGAAAUUGCAAUAAUUAAUCAUUGGCCUUGAAUAAAUUGCCAGAGUGAAACAACAUACUAUCUUGUGUUUAAUGAAACCUAUACAUGAAAUUAUUUUCAAUUUCUGAAACGUAUCAUUUCAAAUGUAAUGAGAAUUCUUUCACUCAUGAUUCAUAGAUAAUAUCAAAGCUGUCUUGGAUGCUGUUAGGACAGAGUAUUUCUGGGAUACUAUUAAUCAAACUGAAGAAAGUAAAAAUAGGCUUAUAAAGUAGUCUAGACCCAAAAGGGAGGAUAGACAUUAAUUUGUCUGAUAUAUUGGAUACAUUAAUAUACAAUGCAUCUGUAGUACUUGACCUUAAGUGUCAGGAAUAUAAUGCACCAUAUCUUUUUUAUAAGCAGUACUUCAAAGAGGUGUUUCUGGUCAAUAUUAUUUUGUACUGCAAGGUUAAAAUGAUGAAAUGCAUAAAACAUGAAAUACAUGACUUGUUAAAAUACAAUUUACCAGUCCAUAUGCAGGGGUUUUUUUAAUGCCACACCUCAACAACAAAACUUUCAGAUAAAAAUUAAUCAUCAACAUAAUGUUGUAUGGUAAUGGCAUGAAUUUUGUUUCCAUUUAAAUGUUUACGUUUAUCUCAAAUCGCUAAGUUAAUAGUAGCUUUAAGUCUGCAACCAAGAAUUUAGAUUUUUUGUUUCUUUUAUGCAAUUUUUGUAGCAAUUUUUAUUCAUGGAGUAUGUAUAUCCUCAACUAACACCAAGUAUUUGUUAGUAAUGAUCUCAAGGUAAGAGCUCUGAAAAAACGACAUUGGCCUUAAAUAUUCACUAAAACCUAGCUGUAUGAUUGUUGCUUGACCAAGUGCCUUUGACAAAAUCUAUCU